CCUACGGGGCGCAGCAGUAGGGAAUAUUGCUCAAUGGGGGAAACCCUGAAGCAGCAACGCCGCGUGGAGGAUGAAGGUUUUCGGAUUGUAAACUCCUUUUGUUAGAGAAGAUAAUGACGGUAUCUAACGAAUAAGCACCGGCUAACUCCGUGCCAGCAGCCGCGGUAAUACGGAGGGUGCAAGCGUUACUCGGAAUCACUGGGCGUAAAGAGCGCGUAGGCGGGAUAGCAAGUCAGAUGUGAAAUCCUUUGGCUUAACCAUAGAACUUCAUUUGAAACUGUUAUUCUAGAGUAUGGGAGAGGUAGGUGGAAUGCUUGGUGUAGGGGUAAAAUCCGUAGAGAUCAAGAGGAAUACUGAGUGCGAAGGCGACCUGCUAGAACAUAACUGACGCUGAUGCGCGAAAGCGUGGGGAGCAAACAGGAUUAGAUACCCUAGUAGUC
rnacentral:rRNA from 1 species